rnacentral:rRNA from 1 species
CCUACGGGAGGCAGCAGUGAGGAAUAUUGGUCAAUGGGCGUAAGCCUGAACCAGCCAAGUCGCGUGAGGGAUGACGGUUCUAUGGAUCGUAAACUUCUUUUAUAAAGGAAUAAAGUGAGGCACGUGUGCCUCUUUGUAUGUACUUUAUGAAUAAGGAUCGGCUAACUCCGUGCCAGCAGCCGCGGUAAUACGGAGGAUCCGAGCGUUAUCCGGAUUUAUUGGGUUUAAAGGGAGCGUAGAUGGUUUGUUAAGUCAGUUGUGAAAGUGUGCGGCUCAACAGUAAAAUUGCAAUUGAUACUGGCAGUCUUGAGUACAGUUGAGGUAGGCGGAAUUCGUGGUGUAGCGGUGAAAUGCUUAGAUAUCACGAAGAACUCCGAUUGCGAAGGCAGCUUACUAACCAGACACUGACAUUGAUGCUCGAAAGUGUGGGUAUCGAACAGGAUUAGAUACCCGAGUAGUC